GAUGAACGCUGGCGGCGUGCCUAAUACAUGCAAGUCGAGCGAACGGACGAGAAGCUUGCUUUUCUGAUGUUAGCGGCGGACGGGUGAGUAACACGUGGAUAACCUACCUAUAAGACUGGGAUAACUUCGGGAAACCGGAGCUAAUACCGGAUAAUAUUUUGAACCGCAUGGUUCAAAAGUGAAAGACGGUCUUGCUGUCACUUAUAGAUGGAUCCGCGCUGCAUUAGCUAGUUGGUAAGGUAACGGCUUACCAAGGCAACGAUGCAUAGCCGACCUGAGAGGGUGAUCGGCCACACUGGAACUGAGCCACGGUCCAGACUCCUACGGGAGGCAGCAGUAGGCAAUCUUCCGCAAUGGGCGAAAGCCUGACGGGGCAACGCCGCGUGAGUGAUGAAGGUCUUCGGAUCGUAAAACUCUGUUAUUAGGGAAGAACAUAUGUGUAAGUAACUGUGCACAUCUUGACGGUACCUAAUCAGAAAGCCACGGCUAACUACGUG
rnacentral:rRNA from 1 species